AUCCCUGACCCUGGAACCAUUGCUGUAACAUAUGUCUGUCAUUAUUCAGUGGAGGAGAGAUAGGCUAUGUCUAUGUCUACACUCAGAGUUCUGACCUUUGAAGGUCUGAAUGAUUAGUAGCUUAAUAUU